rnacentral:tRNA from 1 species
CACUAGGAAGCUAAUUCGGCAAUAAGCGUUAGCCUUUUAAGCUAAAAAUUGGUGCCUGCCACCCACCUCUAGUGA